GAUGAACGCUGGCGGCGUGCCUAAUACAUGCCAGUCGAGCGAACAGACGAGGAGCUUGCUCCUCUGACGUUAGCGGCGGACGGGUGAGUAACACGUGGAUAACCUACCUAUAAGACUGGGAUAACUUCGGGAAACCGGAGCUAAUACCAGAUAAUAUAUUGAACCGCAUGGUUCAAUAGUGAAAGACGGUUUUGCUGUCACUUAUAGAUGGAUCCGCGCCGCAUUAGCUAGUUGGUAAGGUAACGGCUUACCAAGGCAACGAUGCGUAGCCGACCUGAGAGGGUGAUCGGCCACACUGGAACUGAGACACGGUCCAGACUCCUACGGGAGGCAGCAGUAGGGAAUCUUCCGCAAUGGGCGAAAGCUUGACGGAGCAACGCCGCGUGAGUGAUGAAGGUCUUCGGAUCGUAAAACUCUGUUAUUAGGGAAGAACAAAUGUGUAAGUAACUAUGCACGUCUUGACGGUACCUAAUCAGAAAGCCACGGCUAACUACGUG
rnacentral:rRNA from 1 species